CAGAAAGCAAGAUGCAUUUUUAAAGUGUAUGGUAAUAACAAAAAAAGGAUAUGAACAAAAAAUAAAAAAUAUUUACAUUAUACAGCAUGCCAGUCCAUGGAUUACUUUAUCUACUUCGUAUUUGAUGUUUAACCAGUCAAUACGACUGUGAAGGAUUUCGUAAACCUCUUCGGUAUGAAAUGCGCUAGAAAAUCGAGAAGUAUCGGUAGCCAGUUUUCCAAUCUCUUCGGCGUUUUUUCCAUCAAUAAUAAAUAAAUGGGCAAUUUCCUUCAAUGUCUUAAAAUAUGGUAAAAGGCUGCUUUGAUGAAGAGAGUGAAUGAAUUCAUAAUACAAAUUACAAUCGCUAAAAUGAGUCAGUUUUAUAAUUCUUAAACAUAAGGAAUAAAAUCUCACCUGAGUAACUUUAGCCCGCCAUCGACACUGAAUUUAUGAGAUUUUAUGUAACGUGUUAAGGAAUCGAAAAGUCUCAUUCCGACUUCCUUAUAAAAAACAUCAAGGAUUUCAUGAUCGGCCCUUCCAACUAGAAUACGCAUGUGGAAACCUAAAAAUUGAACCACAUUUUUGGCAGCAGCUGUAGGCUCUAUAGUAUUCGUUAUGGAACCUAUAGUUUGGUCACUAAAUAAAUUCAUUGGUGUUUUAGUUUCCAGCAAAAAAUCGGCAUGCUCAAUUAGAACAUUAAUGCCUUUGUGUAAUCCGAAAGCUGCCCGUUCAUCCAAAAGCUGCUCGAAUUUUUUUUUUUCUGCAAUUGCAGGGUCAAACAUAUCAUCUUUCACACAUAUAGGACUCAUUUCUUCGUUAAAAAAGCUAUCCAUCAUCUGCUGAAUCAUAUCACCAACAUUGAUAAGCUCCAAAAAUUUCACCACUGGCUCUACAGUAUUACUAGAAAAGUCGCGUCGAGGAUCAAAAGAAGAGAGAUGCUCGAUUGCUCGAUCAAACCCAUGCUUUAAGUGGCCUUGACCUAACUCCCGCAGAAGCUGAACGAAUAAGUCCUUCGAAAGCCCUUUAAUAUCAUCAUCUUGAGGAACCGAGGUACCCAUAAAUACUUUAGCACGAGCUAAACUAACUUUGCAAAGAUGGACGAUUUUCAAAGCUAAUUCCAAACUAAACAUGGUGCUGAUACCUUCAAGUUUUGAGUCCAAUACAGCAGCUUGCGCGGCUAAUUCGGUAGUAGGGAGAUGUUUCAAUCGGUCCUUAGAAACAUAUAUAUUCGCAGGAACAAAUCGGGCAGCAUCCAACUUUGAAAGUUCUGGAUCUUCUUCUUCUUUCUGCUCUAUCGCUUUCUCAGCCAAAUUAGAUGCACUAUUGUUUUCUGACGGUAUUGUAAAAAGAGAGACUGGAAGCAGCAUUACGUUUUUAAAGGUUUCCAAAAAAUUAUUUUUGGCAGUAUUCUGGCUGACAUUUUUGUAAAAAAAGCAUUCUGUAGCGUCUUCUUUUUCUUCCAGCUUUUGGUCCCACUGAUCAACCAGCGACCAGCCAACAGUUUUAAAGUAAUGUAACUCCUGAGAAAUGAAAAUAUCAAUUUGCGGUUGAAAAAUUGUAUCCACUAAAGCCGGUCCAUUAGGAAUCGAAAAAAACUUCUUGCAUAGGCCAUAAAAUCCAGAAAUAAAAACAAGGAACAAUUCGGUCUCUUCUUCACCAAUAUGCUCGCAUAUUGAUAUUACAUAGUCUUUUAGUGAAUUUCCAAGAAUGUCUUUAGCAUAAGGAACCUGGACAAGCUCAGGCUCAGGUAAAGUAGCUUCAGAGAAUUUGGAUUCCGACUCUAAAAGCUUGAUAGUGUCGUUAACAACAGACUCCAAGAUGUUCCAAUUAAUGUGAAUUUCUUCUAGAUUAUUGGAAAUAAACAAACUAUACGGAUCAAAAUGGAAGAAAGACCUAACAAAAUCAGUUUGCUUUGCUAGAUACAUGCUCACGUAUGCAUUUGGACCACUAAAAUCAUGAAGAACAUGAGAAAACUUACGAAGAAGAUCAAGAUUACGAGAAUGAAGACCUAAUUCAAAUUCAUCAAGACAAGCUUGCUCAAAUAAUGAAGCCAUGUCAAGAAUGGCAUUUUGCAUCGCCUGUCGAUAAGUUCCAUAGGGAUAAGAAUUUCCAAACCUAAUUAAAUACUUCAGAACUUUCGAUUGCUCCUCUGGCGUCCGAAAAGCAGAAAAUGCAAUAGGGUCAAUAGUAUUGCUAGCAUAAGCCAGAUUUCGGUAGAUAGGAGCCAAUGCUCUCCAAACCUUUAUGUAAUCCAAUCUUGCAAAUUCAACUCUUUGACUCACACAAUCCAAAACUGUCAAAACUACUUGCUUCCCUUGCACUGUUGAGUAAUCAACAGGAAAAGGGAUCUUUUGGUCGGGUAAGGAAAGAAGUGACGAGGAGGACAGCUUAGGCCGAUCAGAGUCAGCAUACUUUUUAUCACUACU